CUAGCGACAGGCUUAACACAUGCAAGUCGAGGGGCAGCAUAAAAGUAGCAAUACUUGGUGGCGACCGGCGCACGGGUGAGUAACGCGUAUGCAACCUACCUAUCAGAGGGGAAUAACCCGGCGAAAGUCGGACUAAUACCGCAUAAAACAGGGGCACCGCAUGGUGAUAUUUGUUAAGAAAUUCGCUGAUAGAUGGGCAUGCGUUCCAUUAGGUAGUUGGUGAGGUAACGGCUCACCAAGCCGACGAUGGAUAGGGGAACUGAGAGGUUGGUCCCCCACACUGGUACUGAGACACGGACCAGACUCCUACGGGAGGGAGCAGUGAGGAAUAUUGGUCAAUGGGCGGGAGCCUGAACCAGCCAAGUCGCGUGAAGGAAGAAGGAUCUAUGGUUCGUAAACUUCUUUUGCAGGGGAAUAAAGUGCAGGACGUGUCCUGUUUUGUAUGUACCCUGAGAAUAAGGAUCGGCUAACUCCGUGCCAGCCGCCGC
rnacentral:rRNA from 1 species